UCCCGUUUCCCAGGCACCAGUGCUCUGCUGCGAGACGUACCUUCAGCGGGCUCAUGCCUUUACUGCACGGAGCGAUUCCUAACCUGGAGCUGGCUGAAGAAGACCUGACACCUCAAGUAGGCUCAUCAGCUGAAACGUUGUGUUACUUCUUUCUACUUUGCAGGGCAGAUUCAACUUGACCUCCUCUGUUGUCAUUGCAUUGUUACCUAAUAUCAUUUGAUCAGACUUGUAACACAUCUCAUGGGAGUUAAGAUGAGUGUUACUAUGAUGUCACUGGCCAGACAAGUUGCCCAUGCUGUCUUCCUGGCGUCUCUGUGUCUUGGACUUCUCUGCCUGUUGGUACGUGGCUCAGGGCUGGGAGAUGACUGAGAGCUGACCAGGGGACUGACAGCUUUUGGGGAUGCUUGUGAGAUGGACUGCAAGGCUGUCACACAAUACUGCAUGGUGUAUCUGGUGUCCCAUAUUUUUGAGAGGAUUGUUGUUUUGUCAAUUGUUCAGUACUUUAACAAUCUUUAACAUCACUGUGGUAUAAUACUUGCAAUUCAGGCAGAAGUACUGUCGAUAAACUAUCAUGCAAGCUUUAUUACCUUCCAAGGUUUCUUUGUUUGCCAAAUAAACUGGAGGAGAGAAAAAUAUCAGU